AUACGUAGGUGACAAGCGUUAUCCGGAUUUACUGGGCGUAAAGGGCGUGUAGGCGGUCUUGCAAGUCAGAAGUGAAAUUCCUGAGCUCAACUCGGGCGCUGCUUCUGAAACUGCAGGACUUGAGUGCUGGAGGGGAUAGCGGAAUUCCUAGUGGAGCGGUAAAAUGCGCAGAUAUUAGGAAGAACACCGGUGGCGAAGGCGUCUAUCAGGACAGUAACGGACGCUGAGGAGCGAAAGCGUGGGGAGCAAACAGGAUUAGAUACCAUGGUAGUCCACGCCGUAAACGAUGAAUACUAGGUGUAGGGGGUAUCGACUCCCUCUGUGCCGCAGUUAACACAAUAAGUAUUCCGCCUGGGGAGUACGGCCGCAAGGUUGAAACUCAAAUGAAUUGACGGGG
rnacentral:rRNA from 1 species